rfam:Burkholderia sp. A9 Contig18, whole genome shotgun sequence.
CCGUUUGUACGGCCAAAUGUAGCCUAGGAAGAUGUGCGUCGCUGGUAACGGCGGGGUUCAAAGCUCUUCUGACAAAGUAACCCCCGCAGUAAGGGCGGACUGACAUCGCGAGGUGUUCGUUCGGAGGUCCCUAGCAGCAUGGGAUCGAGGUG